rnacentral:lncRNA from 1 species
UGCGAGUCAACACCCAAGCUUCAGGGGCUCCCUGGCUCAGGUCCCUCCCAGGAGUGCGUGAGAUAACAUCUUGAUGAGUUCCUGUUCUCCUGUGCAAGAAAUAAACAUCUCUAAGUUUCACCAUGGGCUACUAUAAUACAAUAUUUGUUGUGAUCUGAUUUUAACAAAGUAUGCAUAAGCAAAAAUGGCUCAAAUAAACACACAAUGCAAAUGAAGCUGAGCACUGAAAUGAGAACUCAGGUCCUGACAUUUACAGUCUCCUUAAGGCAGCACCCAGCAGGACGCAGGGCGCUGUGGAUGUGGAGCUGGAUCGACUGCACCAGCCAGGCUCCAGGGGGCAGGGCCUGGGCGUGUGCGGUAGUGGACCA